rnacentral:rRNA from 1 species
AAACUANUUUAAUUUGGCGGCAUUUCAUUCAAUUAGAGGAAUUUGUCCUUUAAUCGAUAAACCACGAUAAAUUUAACUUUAAUUUCAAUUUAUAUACCGCCAUCUUAAGAAUCAAUUCAAAAAUGUUUUUCCAAAAAAAAAAUAAAAAAUUAGGUCAAGGUAUAGUUUAUAUUAAAGAAUGAGAUGAAUUACAUUUAGUACAAUUAAAAGAUUAUAAAUACAAAUAUAUAUACAAAUAAGAAUUUAAAAGUAAUAUUAAAAUAAUAUUAUAAUAUGAUAAAUACAAUAAAUGUGUACACAUCGCCC